rnacentral:misc_RNA from 1 species
CGCCAUUACACCCCCCAAGCCUUGCUUGAUGUUGGGCCAUGACAUGCUGUCAAGCCCCAAACCCUUAGGCGCCCCCUACUGGCCGCGAGCGUAGCAAGAUUUUUUCCUCGCUUCGCGUGUCCAAUAGGAGGGUCGCCCAUUGACCCCUAAACUUUAUAAGGUUUGGCCUCGGAUCAGGCGGGGAUACCCGCUGAACUUAA